rnacentral:rRNA from 1 species
GGCUUAAUUUGACUCAACGCGGGAAAUCUUACCGGGUCCGGACACACUGAGGAUUGACAGGCAUUAUCUCAUGUUAACGGUAAGUUUACUUACCGCUUAACAUCGAGUGUUAAAUAUGCUAGUCCUUUCAUGAUUAUGUGAUAGGUGGUGCAUGGCCGUUCUUAGUUCGUGGAGUGAUCUGUCUGCUUAAUUGCGUUUCACUAAGGGCCCAUAAAUUCAAGGUAUGUUAGCUCUCGUCGCUCUAUGGACCCCUUAACUCCAAUAUUCUUAUUGUGUUAAGCGCGUGUCUUUAUUUUAAGAGUUUUAAGACACUGCGCAUGCUGUUGGGCUCUG